rnacentral:rRNA from 1 species
AGUGAACGCUGGCGGCGUGCCUAAUACAUGCAAGUCGAACGAAGUGGCGCACGGGUGAGUAAUAUAUAGUUCAUCUGCCCUACACGGAGGAACGUCAGUUGGAAACGGCUGCUAAUACCUCAUAUUGUAGGAUGAUACGAUAUCGUAUCAGCUAGUUGGUAAGGUAAUGGCUUACCAAGGGUAUGACGCGUAACUGGUCUGAGAGGAUGAUCAGUAACAUUCGAACUGAGACAGGGGCGAAACUCCUACGGGAGGCAGCAGUAAGGAAUAUUGCGCAAUGGGGGAAACCCUGAAGCAGCAACGCCGCGUGGAGGAGGACACUUUUCGGAGCGUAAAAUCCUUUUAUCAGGAAAGCGGUACCUGAUGAAUAAGCACCGGCUAACUCCGUGCCAGCAGCCGCGGUAAUAC